rnacentral:rRNA from 1 species
GAUGAACGCUAGCGGCAGGCCUAACACAUGCAAGUCGAGGGGUAGAGGAAGCUUGCUUCCUUGAGACCGGCGCACGGGUGCGUAACGCGUAUGCAAUCUACCUUAUACAGGGGAAUAGCCCAGAGAAAUUUGGAUUAAUGCCCCAUAGUGUUAUUGAAUCGCAUGGUUUAGUAACUAAAGUUCCAACGGUAUAAGAUGAGCAUGCGUCCCAUUAGUUAGUUGGUAAGGUAACGGCUUACCAAGACGAUGAUGGGUAGGGGUCCUGAGAGGGAGAUCCCCCACACUGGUACUGAGACACGGACCAGACUCCUACGGGAGGCAGCAGUGAGGAAUAUUGGUCAAUGGGCGCAAGCCUGAACCAGCCAUGCCGCGUGCAGGAAGACGGUCCUAUGGAUUGUAAACUGCUUUUAUACAGGAAGAAACCCUCCCACGUGUGGGAGAUUGACGGUACUGUAGGAAUAAGGAUCGGACUAACUCCGUGCCAGCAGCCGCGGUAAAGUG